rnacentral:sRNA from 1 species
AAGCUAAGUAGGAAUACCCUAUCUUCUUUAUAAGAGUUUUCAUACAUGCAAAAUAUGGAAAACAAUGUCCGAACAUAUAUUUUCCCCCCGUAAUAUAGCAAAGAUCACGAAAAGGCCCACAAAAAGUACAUUUAGUUCAAAAUUUGGAGUAGAAAAAAAAACAAUAGAAAAGUUCCAAUUUC